CUUCAGGGCCGGCGGUUCAGCGCUUCAGCUGCCUCACGCUCACCGUAGCAGAAGGUGUUCUGGAGGGAAAACGCACGCACAGUGUGCGCGCGCGUGUGUGUGCUGCACGUGUAGCUGCUCAACAGACCUCUCAGGUUGAAGGUUUGAUAGACCGAUGGCUGAGUGAGGCUGACUUCAGAGCACCGCACGAUAUGUUCUGUUGUGGAUGAUUGGAGCAAGCAGCAUCCCAGCUUUGUCCUUGGGCAAUUUCUGGAGGUAACGUUUCUCCUCUGAUUACACGAGAGACGGGGGCAUUUCAAUGUUCUAUUUUUAGCUCAGAAAAAAGAACUCGAAAAGCUGUUUGCCACAGCUGGAGCAGGAAUUUGAUAUGAUUUUUUUUCCAUUUGCUCAGUGAUAUUUAGGCCAUUUCUCCAAAAGUAGGAUUUCUUUUUGCGAUACAUUGACACAUUCUUGCGUCGCGUAGACAUGUAACUGCUGUAACCGUCAGAAAGAAUCCAUAGCAAGAGUGGAAUAUAGAUUUUUCUGCAACUAUUGACCAUCUUUAAAUAUAAGAUGGAUGGCAGGCGUGGAGAAUACAAUACACACUGAAAAUGUGUACACUUUGUGCUUCUUUGUCCGCCUGACAAAGCUGCGUUCUCAGUAGAAUGCAGUGAAUUUCGACAGCCUGCCUCGGUGCUCAAUACUGAAAUCCAUCAGCGGGCACCAAACAGUGUGUUUUAUUUCUCUGUGUCCAGCACAAUAUCAGCACUCAUCAUCCAGCCCUGACAGAGGGGCAACCAGUUAAAGCCAGGAGUGUUAGCACCAACAUGCUAUCUGGCAUCUGCCAUCUCUGGUGAGUCUGUCAACACGACAAAGACAGGCUCUGCUCCGAGUCAAAGGGAAAGCUGCGUCAUCACCGUGCACCAUGAACAAUAUGUACUGAAAACGAUGUGUAUAGAGCUCAAAUGGAAUAGAAAUGUCUUUUCCAAAAGCAAAAACCCUCAUUGUAAAUGUAGCUGAUGUCUAUGUCUUCACUGAUUCAGAUGACUGCAGUGGAACAGAGACUUUCUCUACAGUGUGUUUUUACCAUAGAUUCACAUCUUCAGAGAAGUUCAGUAGUUUCCAUUUCACACUUUUUUGAGGGUGAUGGUGAUGGUUAAAGUGUCUUACAGCCAGUUCUGUAGUUGGUGGUGAUUUAUCCCAGAAAUCUUCGUAUUUCUGCUUAAUUUUCUUCAAAGGAAAAUAUGAAAGAAACACUACAGGAGAAGUUUUACUGAGUUACAGAAGCUUUGGACACAGAGGCUAGCCCAGAUGUGAUGUCAUGACUUUAGCUCUGUCACAUGAAGUAUUUGAUUAUUAGUUGAUUAUAGUUUGAACUAUAAGAUUUUUUUUCCAUUAAAAUUACAGUUUGUGAGUAGAUGUGAGGUAGUUUGUGUUGUGGCUCUGCACCUAGAAUUCACUUCAAUUUGAGCAAUCGCUUCCCUAUUGGGAUACCCAAAGACAGUAUACAUAUGCGUAGAUAAAUGGGCUGCUUUUAAAAGCUGUAAUGUAAAGAAAUGCUGAAAGUAAGCAACACAGAAAAACAUCUCACAAGUGAAGAGUUACCUGAUGGUAUUUAACUUUACCCAACAUAUCGGGGGAAGGAAUCAUUCAUGUGAGUUCACAUAAAGUGACCAUCGAUUAAAGUUGCGUAGAAAAUGUAUCUUGAUAAAAUGUUUGUUUUCGGUGUAUCAGUGAUCAAUAGUUACAAAAAUUUAAUACAUUUUAAUGACCCUUUUUAGGGAAAGAUCAGCCGAUAAAGGGUUGAUUCAGAAUUUCCUUCCUUUGAACACAAAUGUAUAUUUUAAAUACAAAUAGAUAAAAAUAAAUAUACAAAUACAUAAAAAAAAUUAGGACAGAAAAACAACCUCAUCUUGAUAUACAUUAGAUAUUAAAAGCAACCAAAUUAAGUUGAAGGUAAACUAACCAAAGAUUAAUGAGAUACAAUAGAAAGAAAUGUUCAAGAAACUCUUGAAUUUAGUAAAAAUAAAAAUUGUCACAAAAUGCAAUGUAUCAAAAUGACAUUUGUACUGCUGGGUGCACAGAGGUGCAUGGAGGGUGAAGCUACAGCAUCACCACAAGGUUAAGACUCUGAGUGGCAGACGAGGAAGUGGUUUUCGACUGUGAAGGCUCGUCUCACAAGGACAACUGUGAGUCCCUUUCAGUCACAGCCUCUAUCAGGGGAGGUCUGAUGACGAAGGCAACAAAGAGGCAGCCGACUAGUGUCCCUCAGGAGACCAGCAUGGAAGCCACAGGAAGAGUGAAGGAGAGUCACACACUUUAUUAUCGAGAAUGUAGAAGAGCCAGGAGGGGAACAGGCUUCGUUUUUGUUACGAUUUAGUUUCAUGCUGGUUUGCAUCCAAUGCAUUCUAUUGAACAUUUUACCAAAAAUUUUUUUUUUUAUUGCUGUUAAAGACAGGUCUAUUAUCUGCACAUAUUGCUAUUGUUUAAUGGCCCAGACUACCACUGACACUCACAGAUUUAUACAGUGAAUGCAUAUACUAGUGCAUGUAAAAAAUAAAAAGAACAUUAUGAAAAAGUUUCAUAUUCUCCAUCAGUUAUUUAGGAAAGCAUACAUUUAUUGUAUCCUAGACUCAUACGUAAAGGUAAAUAUUUCAAAUUCAAAGAGAUACUGGAUGUCACAUUUUCAUGAGCUGUUGGCCAUAAUUGUCUAAAGGCUUUCAACUUGUUUUGAUAAUUCUUAACUCUUCUUCCUUUGCUUUUUAUUAUUAUUAUUAUCUUGUCAGGAAGCCGUCCCAGCUCCUGGCUGGUUUUUGUUCUUGCCUCUGUCAGGAUGCUGUUCCAGCUCCUGCCCAGUUUUUGUCCCUGUCUCCCUCUCUCUCUCCCAGCUGAUCGCCCGCUGCAGGACAGCUAAUUGUGGCAUGAGACUCAGCUGAGGGGUAAUCAGCCAACACUAUUCACCUGCCUUCCCCUUCUGUUUAAAAAACCCUUUGCUCCCCUCAUUGUGUGUGGGAGCAUCACAGUUUUUGACACUCCACAUGCCGUUCUCAACUACUACCCUCUGGAUUACAGCUGUUUCUGGACUUUUCUGCUUCCCCCCCUGUUUGGACUUUCAAACCUUGGACUCGGUGGAUUUUUGUUAUUGGAUUUAUGCUGGCCUGUUUGUUCCCUCAAUUGUUGCUUUUGUUUUUUCUGUGAGUACCAUUCAUUAGCUCUGUGUUUCUGUUUUUUUUUUUCGUAUCGUGUAGUUUGGUUUUUGCGCUGCCCCCACAGUCCUGUCCUUAGUUUGUAAUUGUUUUGAUUCAAUAAAACCCCAUUACACCUGU